AGCGGCGGACGGGUGAGUAACGCGUGGGUAACCUGGCCUAUACACACGGAUAACAUACCGAAAGGUAUGCUAAUACGAGAUAAUAUAAGAGAUUCACAUGUAUUUCUUAUCAAAGCUGAGGCGGUAUAGGAUGGACCCGCGUCUGAUUAGCUAGUUGGUAAGGUAACGGCUUACCAGGGCGACGAUCAGUAGCCGACCUGAGAGGGUGAUCGGCCACAUUGGAACUGAGACACGGUCCAAACUCCUACGGGAGGCAGCAGUGGGGAAUAUUGCACAAUGGGCGAAAGCCUGAUGCAGCAACGCCGCGUGAGUGAUGAAGGCCUUCGGGUCGUAAAACUCUGUCCUCAAGGAAGAUAAUGACGGUACUUGAGGAGGAAGCCCCGGCUAACUACGUGCCAGCAGCCGCGGUAAUACGUAGGGGGCUAGCGUUAUCCGGAUUUACUGGGCGUAAAGGGUGCGUAGGUGGUCUCUUAAGUCAGGAGUGAAAGGCUACGGCUUAACCGUAGUAAGCUCUUGAAACUGGGAGACUUGAGUGCAGGAGAGGAAAGUGGAAUUCCUAGUGUAGCGGUGAAAUGCGUAGAUAUUAGGAGGAACACCAGUAGCGAACGCGGCUUUCUGGACUGUAACUGACACUGAGGCACGAAAGCGUGGGGAGCAAACAGGAUUAGAUACCCUGGUAGUCCACGCCGUAACGAUGAGUACUAGUGU
rnacentral:rRNA from 1 species